UACGUAGGGGGCAAGCGUUUGUCCGGAUUUAUUGGGCGUAAAGAGCGUGUAGGCGGCCAUACAGGUCAGCUGUGAAAACUCGAGGCUCAACCUCGAGACGUCGGUUGAAACCGUAUGGCUAGAGUCCGGAAGAGGAGAGUGGAAUUCCCGGUGUAGCGGUGAAAUGCGCAGAUAUCAGGAGGAACACCGGUGGCGAAGGCGGGUCUCUGGGCCAUUACUGACGCUGAGGAGCGAAAAGCGUGGGGAGCGAACAGG
rnacentral:rRNA from 1 species